AUUUUAUUAAUAUAAUUAUAAUAACAUUAAAUUAGAAUUGUGAAUCCAGUAAAAAUAACUGAAAGUUAUACCUUUGAAGGAAAGUCUUGUUUCAAUUCUGUAAUACUGCCACACCAAUAAUCGGCAGUUUUCUCAGAUAUCAAUUCGAUAUUCAAGAAGCUACCUUGUUCGGGUCCAUAAUGAUGACGGGACGUUGUGCCUUUGAUGAUGCGCGGUGACACGUUGGUGACGAGAUCCUGGGAAAAAAAAAUAUUGAAAACACAAAUAUAUACAUGUCAUUUGUAAUUUAAUUAAUACUCUUUAAUGAGAUACUUUAUCUAAGGAGAAGGUUUUCGUGAUAGCGAAGGCCCACCCGGCUUCGAAAGCACGUCGGAUCAUCGCGCUGGUGGUGCAAGGUGGUGCGGAAGCCAGACCAAAAGGAUUCUCGAAUUUUAAUCCACAUAUUUCGAUGCUUAAAUCAACGUCAUCGAUAGCUGUGUAAAACUUCGGCAAUUGCGGAGUUUCUGGUACAGUCAAACCAUUCCACAGUCGUUUGAGCGACACCAGCAAGGUCUCCUCCGCAAAACACACCUGGCACCGAAGUCAUCAUCGUAUUCUGGUCAACUUCCGAUUAGAAUUUAAAUGCAAAGAUGUAGACGGUAGAGGGAUUACCUCUUCUGGGACAGCUCGUACGUUGGUGAAGCCUUUCCGAAAGACGACGAAGACCUUUCUGGCUCCACACCGGAGAGCGGAAGUUGCGCAAUCGAAAGCGGUAUCUCCCGCACCGAGGACGAUUACGUUGCCGUGAAGAGAUGGAAGUUCCUGGUUGUUCUUGCAAGCGCACAUUCCCGGCUUGCUACCUUUUGCGACCAUGGGCAGGAAGCUCUUCGAAGUGAAAAAGCCCAUUUCCGACGUGAGAUUUUCGAAGAUCGGUAUAUUCUUCGGCUCAGUGUUGCAGCCCACCGAUGUUGAUGGGUCCCUCCUCGGUCGCAUACAGAUUGCAUCCACCCACGCAAAGGUCACUGGUCGGACAAACCAUGCCGCAGGUGAGACCAAGAGGAUUAUCUGAUAAAAUCGCUUUGGCGGCACCAUAGUAAUUCUUGUUGGAGAUAGAAGUGAUAAAAGACUUAAUGUCCAAUUGUGUAGGACAGGAUUUUUGACAAGGUGCGUCAGCGCACUUCAAACAACGCGCAGCUUCCCUUAAUGCACCACGUUCGCUCAAAGUAGUAUGCUUGAUAUCGUCGAAAUUCUUUGUCAAAGGCAUGCAACUCUGAAGAAAGAAAGAAAAAAAUAUAACAAGAUCAAUUUUAAAAUAAUCGACCAAACUAGCCACAAUUUGUUUAUUUAAAAUUACGACGUUUUGACCAUAUGGUUGUGGUUCUUAUUAAAUACAAACUGAAAUUAAAAAGAGAUAGAACGGUAUAAAACUUCGUCGAUAACUGACUAUAUAAAACAAGCUACAUGACCUAUAUUAUUUUGUUAUAAAAAAUAUAAGGUAAAUAAAUCAAGGAAAAAGA